rfam:Asian citrus Psyllid, Diaphorina citri - Florida Strain, whole genome shotgun sequence.
GUUGGCGCCAAGAUAUGGCAUGUCGAUUAUGUGUUCUCAUUCUAUAUGGAUCACUGAAGUUAAGCAACGUCGCGCUUGGUUAGUAUUCGGAUGGGUGACCAUCUGGACAAUCGCGUGUUGCUGGAU